ensembl:lncRNA
CUUCACUGGGACUGACGGUUACCAAGGGCACGCCUCCUUCACUGGGACUGACGGUUACGAAGGCCACGCCUCCUUCACCGGGACUGACGGUUACGAAGGCCACGCCUCCUUCACCGGGACUGACCGAUACAAAAUCCGUGCCUCUUUGAUCUUGGAUGAAAACUUUUAUUUAUUUAUUUAUUUAUUUUAUUUCUUUGUUCUAAUUCAUCGUGUAAAAUUAGAGAGCCAGAGCAGACAAAACACCACACACACACACACACACACACACACACACACACACACACACACACACACACGUACUUAUGUGCACAUCUGACUGAUAAUCUUGGCUCGAUCACUGAUGAGAUGCACAGCAGGCCUCAGGCUCUUUAAAAGAUCACACGUCUAUUUUGAAGAGACACGAGUAAAGGAAGGAAACUGACUGCAUCAAACAGCAAAUACACGUCGAUGCCUAAUAAACACCGAGGACGUGUCGCAGUGGGACGCUUUCAUGAAAAAGCAGAGCCACGGAGCCGGUAGAAUGACAUUUUUUUUAAAAAACAACAGGAAUAGAACUAUUUUCCAGCAGAUCUGGCCCAACUCUCACGCCUCUCCCGCAUGCCGGGUUUACACGUCUCACACGUCUCACACACGUCUCUCACACACACAUACACGUCGCUGUGUAAACAUGCGACACGCUCGGCACGCAGGCGGAGCGGAUUUUCUCCGGGGGUAAUCUGGAGCGUCGCAAAUCCAGGGCGAGGCCGUGACCCGACCCUGCCGCCGCACGCAGUUCUAACACCGCUUACGACAAAAACCUCUCACGUCAGCGCCGUGCACGUCUCAGCAGCACUGCUGGUGCCCGUGUGUACCCACAAACUGCGUUUCUCUGGAGUUUCUGUAAGACUUUCUGUGAGACUUCUGCUUUGUGUUUCUGUAGAACACGCGUUCUCGGUUUGCGACACGUUCUGCAAGACCAUUUCGUAGAACCUUCGACUCUGACACGUGACGAACGCUUCACUAGGUUUUCUUUUUCUUUUUUUUUUCCUUUCAAGCUUCAGGUUUCGGUCCGGUUCAGGAGACGGCCUUCACGUCGUGUCGAUCGGACGGUGCCGGGGCCGCUUCAGCGUUCUGCUGAACGUGCGGUUUGUGAAGCGGUCCCUCGGAGAACGCCCCGUUCUUUCAACCUUUCUCUUUGGGGGUUUUUUGUUGUUCGUUUUGUUUUGAAACAAAACGGUUACCUGUCUGUUAAAGUCUGCUUUACAUCUCACCUCGAGGCACGUGAGAAACGUCCGGGUUAGCUGAAGGAGAAGUUUAAAGAGCGAACCCGUGUCCUAGCCGUCUCGAGAGAUCAGUCACUGCGGAAAAUGCAGGAAAUUUCUCGAGUUCAUUUUAUUGCAUUAUUGCAAUGUUGUUAUAUAAAAUAGUCACGAUAAAUAGCUGCUGCUCUGUGUCUCUGU